UACAGAGGGUGCGAGCGUUGUUCGGAAUUAUUGGGCGUAAAGCGCUUGUAGGCGGCUUGUUAAGUUCCGUGUGAAAUCCCCAGGCUUAACCUGGGAAGUGCGCGGAAAACUGGCGAGCUUGAGUGCCGGAGAGGGUCGCGGAAUUCCCGGUGUAGAGGUGAAAUUCGUAGAUAUCGGGAGGAACACCAGUGGCGAAGGGCGGCG
rnacentral:rRNA from 1 species